GACGAACGCUGGCGGCGUGCCUAACACAUGCAAGUCGAACGGAGAGGUUAUGAACAAGGCUUCGGCCAAGUGAGUAAUUUUCUUAGUGGCGGACGGGUGAGUAACGCGUGAGCAAUCUGCCUUUCAGAGGGGGAUAACGUUCUGAAAAGAACGCUAAUACCGCAUAAAGUAUUUUGAUGGCAUCAUCGAGAUACCAAAGGAGCAAUCCGCUGAAAGAUGAGCUCGCGUCUGAUUAGAUAGUUGGUGGGGUAACGGCCUACCAAGUCGACGAUCCAUAGCCGACCUGAGAGGGUGACCGGGCCACAUUGGGACUGAGACACGGCCCAAACUCCUACGGGAGGCAGCAGUGGGGAAUAUUGCACAAUGGGCGAAAGCCUGAUGCAGCGACGCCGCGUGAAUGAGAAGUAUUUCGGUAUGUAAAGUUCUAUCAGCAGGGAAGAAGAAUGACGGUACCUGACUAAGAAGCACGGCUAAAUACGUGCCAGCA
rnacentral:rRNA from 1 species